UAUAAUCCCUUCCUGAAGUGUCAGUGUCA
rnacentral:piRNA from 1 species